CCAAUUUUCAUUCUUUUCAAAUAUUUCAAGGGAAACUCAAGACAAACCAUCAAUUGCUUAUCAACACAAAGAGAUUUUACUUUUGGUAAAGAGAAACACGAUCGUUAAGGAAGCUUAAGCGGAAAGCAUAAGAGUGUGGAGCACGCCAGCAUUUUCCAGAUAGGGUUACAACGAGGUCAUUCCGGACGAUUUGGAUUAGAAGUGGGUCGUUGGCCGAGUCCGUGUGUUGCUGUUCCUGUUGCUUGAAGUUCUUCCCUUUGGUACUCCAUUAAUUUACUCGUUUUUCAUUCCAUGUUGAACUCUGUGAGGUCCGCCUACCUGGGAGCGCGCCUCAC